UACGUAGGGUGCGAGCGUUGUCCGGAAUUAUUGGGCGUAAAGAGCUCGUAGGCGGUUUGUCGCGUCUGCUGUGAAAUCUGGGGGCUCAACCCCCAGCCUGCAGUGGGUACGGGCAGACUAGAGUGCGGUAGGGGAGAUUGGAAUUCCUGGUGUAGCGGUGGAAUGCGCAGAUAUCAGGAGGAACACCGAUGGCGAAGGCAGAUCUCUGGGCCGUAACUGACGCUGAGGAGCGAAAAGCAUGGGGGAGCGAACAGG
rnacentral:rRNA from 1 species